rnacentral:rRNA from 1 species
GGUUAAGUUACAAAGGGCGCACGGUGGAUGCCUUGGCACUAGGAGCCGAAGAAGGACGUGACAAACGACGAAAUGCCUUGGGGAGCUGUAAGUAAGCGUAGAUCCAGGGAUGUCCGAAUGGGGGAAC